AACAACGUAAGUUGUCGAAUCAAAAGCGCAUCUUCAGGUUCUGAAAUUUUGUUUAAUUGGAUUUGAGUAAUUUGACCAACAAGAUAACAAACGUCGUCGAAUAAAAAAACACAUCUUCAAGGAUUCUAUGUUUCGUUACUAACUUUUCAACUUAUUGUACUUAAUUGAUUGGUUCCUUGAAAUGUUUUCCCUAUAUAUGAACAUCAAUUCUAUGUUUGGUUACUAAUUUGCUUCUUCUCCUUUUGUUUUUGUUAUCAAGGAGUGCAUGACAAUGGAAAAGAAGGUUAGUGAAGAAUUGUCAUCAAGUUUCUAUGGUUGAAUGGUGUUAAAUGAAGAAAGAAGAUUCAUAAAAUGGAUAUAGGUUUUUUUGUUUGAGCAAAGUUAACAAAUGUUAGUUUUUUCUUUUGAUUUAAAUGUAUGUUUAUGUAACAUCUUUAUUUAUAUAUUCAACCACUCAAUGCUCUUAUUUAUUUGAUUGUAGUUUUUCUAUUUCAUUAUGUUUAUUUUCUAUUAUUUUUU